rnacentral:rRNA from 1 species
GAUGAACGCUGGCGGCGUGCUUAAUACAUGCAAGUCGAACGGAGUGUUAGUAAUAGCACUUAGUGGCGAACGGGUGAGUAACGCGUUGGUGACCUGCCCUAGAUCGUGGGAUAACAGUUCGAAAGGACUGCUAAUACCUCAUAAUAUCAAUUGGGUUAGAUACCUUUUGAUCAAAGGCGAAAGCCGCUUUGGGAGGGGCCUGCGUCCCAUCAGCUAGUUGGUAGGGUAAUGGCCUACCAAGGCUAAGACGGGUAGGGGACCUAAGAGGGUGACCCCCCACACUGGCACUGAAACACGGGCCAGACACCUACGGGAGGCUG